UUUCGAGACGAGUCCCAAAUAGGACGAAACGCGCGUCUUGGAU
rnacentral:hammerhead_ribozyme from 1 species